GAAGUCAUACACGGACAAUGCGAUCUCUGAGCUCGAUAUAAAACAUUACAUAACGGUAAAUAACCGUUGAACUAUACAAGAUUUUAGCGCUCUCUAGUGGCCAACCGAAAUCGCCAAAUAAACAAACAGCAGCGAUGGUUCAAGCGAAGGACACGCACAAAUGGACACCACAGGAGACCAGACGGCUCAUUAAUUUCAGGGGGACCAGGGACAAUGAGUUCCUAAAAUCGAAAAUGAUCGCCAGAAAACAGUGGGAGUGAGUCUUACGUUGUUCAAUCUUUUCAUUCUUGCGUCUGUUUUCUACUUUGGUAUAUCUGUGUUGAGCUCAAUAGCCCACUGAAUGUCUGUGUCAUUAUACCAAUUGCCUAAUGAAUGUAUCAACCAAACGAGACCAUUGUUUUUGUUGUAAUUUAGUAUUUUGGUGUGUGUGUGUGUGUGUGUGUGUGUGUGUGUGUGUGUGUGUGUGUGUGUGUGUGUGUGUGUGUGUGUGUGUGUGUGUGUGUGUGUGUAGCCGAGCUAAAUUUAAUUUUGUUUUAUUUUUUAUCAUUGUUCAUACCUUUUUUUAUGUGAACUCCCCCAAAUAUUGGUUCCUAAGUAAGUUGGUUUCGUUGUUCCCUAUGGCAUGCCUUUUGUUUCCCUGGGGAGUGGUUUGGCGUUGCACCUGUGUGUACCUGUGUGUACCUGUGUGUACCUGUGUGUACCUGUGUGUACCUGUGUGUACCUGUGUGUAUGUGCAAUGACAACAAAUAAAAUCCUAUCCUAUCCUAUCCUAUGGCAAUGUU